CGUCUCGCAGAUUACGCUCCACCGACCUAAAGGAUCAAGGAUAACCAUUCAAUCAAUGUCGGUUUGAUCCGACGGUCUAGAUUCACUUGAGGGGACUAUAUAAGCAGACCCCCUGGCCCCUGGAGGAGAACAAGUUCAUCAUAGAGUUGAGAGGUGCCCUCGAAGGAUAACCUUUCCUCUAAAUAGACUUAGGGCUUAGCAUCCAAUGUGAGAGUAGACUAGAUCUACUAGAUUGAGAGAGAUAGAGUGGAGGUGUAGAUCGGAGGAAGCCUGACCUGUCGGUGUCUACUCCGAGGUUGUACCUGCGGGAUCAAGUUCUCCUAACCCGAGGCUUGCUCAUAGGAUUCUUCAGUAAUUCGACUUCUAAAUUCUAGUAAGUUCUUGUUUUAUUGUUCUUUGGUUUAUGAGUUUACUUUAAUCUCUUCCGGUUGAGUUUAGAGUAAUCAUUGCUAGCAUAAACAUGGUGUUUGGGCUAGGGUACUCAUAGAUAUCCCCUAACUAGCUGGACCGUGGUAGUAGCAAGGAACGUGACAUUUCCGAGUUACCUUUGCAUCCCACAUCUCGUUAGCAGGAUGGGUAGGGUUUAUAGGUGCGGGUCGAACAUCCUUUGUGGUGUCUAGAUUCCGUGUGCCUCCCCAAUAGAACAGUAGAUCAUCCUUACGAAGGUUAGAACGAGACUACGGUUGCAGUCUUCUGUAUACAUCGCUCACAUCGAAUCAUAUUCUUUGUAGCCUAAAGGGUAGUAGCAAUAGAUUUAGUUAGUCAGAUGCACGCUUUCUCCCAGUGGUAAAAAUAUAAAUACGAUACUCUGGAUAACCUCCCGGGUGAAGUGCUCACCGAUAUCCGUGCGCUUGCGCAUCAUUUUCUGAUGGCGUUACCAAAUAUCAACAAGCAUUUCUGGCGCCGUUGCCGGGGAGAAAGACGGUUUGCUGAGAUAACUUUGAGUCCUGCUAUUAUCUUGUAUUAUACUUUUAUUCUUUUAUUCUUUUAUCUUUUUAUUUUUUUCCAUCUUUAUGGAUAACUCAAAUUCCACACCUAUUAUUGAAUUUUUUGUACCUCCGGAGACCAGCCAUAGACCAUGAGAGUCAUCCAGUCCUUUCUAUGCCCCUAAUUAUGAUCUGUGUCCGAAGUUGAUUGCAAUAGGUCAAAACCAACCCUUUUCUAUAGCCGAGGUCCUAUCUUUUAAUCAAGAAGAUAAUGAACAUUUAGCUACACCUAGGGAAUCUGUUAAUCUUUCUAUAAAUUCUGGUUUAAACCAAGCCCUACAAGACCAUGUUUUUUCUCGAUAUUUUCACAUUGGUCUUAAUCAUAUAACCUUUGGUAGAGUCUUUCUUUCUUUAUUUAUUAGUAAAGGAAGGUAUGUCUUCAUUUGUGGACAUACUUCUUGCACUAGUCUUCAUAAAAAAUUCCUAGAGAUAGAGAAGGAAUCAUCUCCCAGACAAGGAAAGGAAGUUUCAAUAGCCGAUUUCCAAACAUUCCAAUCCCAUCAUUCGGCUAUCCGACCCAUCCUUGAGCCUUAUAAUUUCUCCUAUGCUCUUUCUCUUGAACCUCCUGAUGAUCCUAUGAAUCUCUCUAGACAUCCCAUUCAUAAGAGUCACCAAGACCACAAGGAGGAUCGAGAAGAGCAGCAUCAAUGGCUAGAGGGCAUUAAAAAUCCAUGUGCUAUCACAAAUGAAUGGAUAGAUAAAACAAACUUGAGAGACAAUCCUAGUUAAGCAUUCAUGAAGAAUCAUCCUUGGAGUUUGAGAAUAAGAGAAACAACAGUGAGCAUGAAAGUGAUUUCAUAAAUACCUCACC
rnacentral:lncRNA from 1 species